UCUAGGCUCCGGGGCAUUUCCUUGUUUGUCCAGUGUCCCGACCGCAUGUCGGUCGGGACGCGGGACAAACAAGGAAAUAUCGGGACAGUCCCGAUAAAAUCGGGACGUCUGGUCACCCUACAUGGCACUCAGUUUAUCUUCCUCAGAGAAUAAAAGACAGAAUUGACCAGAACUUGAAUCGGUGACUUCAGGGAUCCCAUGAAUUACAUAACUGAGGUUUAGACCACUAAGCCACCCUCUCUGGCCACACACACCUAUCAUUAUAUACAAUACCACAAUAUGAUCACUAAAAGAGAGACUGCCAUUAACUUUAGCUGCCAUUUAAAUAAAAGGCCUGGCAAAGCACAGAAUUCUCUUUCAGCCAUAAGGGAAUUAAAAAUUGCUCACCACAAAGUAUAUUUCUCCACUCAUGUGGCUUUCAAGGGGUUCCUACUGAACAACCCAGUUUGAAUCAGGAUCCUAAAUUCUGAUGGAAGUUAAACAUUGCCAUUGGGACAUAAGGGAAGUGAAACAUGGUGUUGACGUGAGUCCAGUUCUCCAUGUUGGAACCAUGCAGGAGCCAUGCUUUGAGGUGGAGCUUCUCUGGAUUCGGAUGGAGUGUUCGGCCCCUGUUCUAUGACAGAAGAUCCAUCCGCAGAGGAAGUGUUUGUGGAGCACAGAUUGCCAGGCGCGACAGAGGCAGCACUACCACUGAGCUCCAUCUGCAGCCGAGGACAGUUGAGAAGGAACUGAAAGGGUUGGGUCAUGCACAUGCUACAAGAGGUGCCAAUGGUACCUUGAGACAUUUACUGCGUACGCGCACCCCGACCGAGCACUGCUACCCAAAAUCUCUGAUCUCCGGCACAGGGACUCACCGACACCUAAAGUCAAGCACCUACAGGGACACUACUUGAAGAAGAAUCAUUAAGUUCCUAAAAUCUAGAACAUAUAAGAUGAAGUCAAAGGAAGAAAUGAGUUGACUUGCUAUACAGUUCUAGACUUCGCAUUUGUAAAAUCAAGCCAACCCUAAUGUCCUUCUUUUAGGAUGAAGAAGUCUCUUGGGACUUGGUUCUAAUGUGUGCAUAUGUGCAUAUCUGCAGAAAUGGAUUCCUCAAGCUGCCCAGAGAUGGAUGCAGAUUGGAAUCCAGCAUUAGUAUGGUAAAUAUACAUCCCUGCUAUCACUUGACCAGCUGAAGUGAACAAGAGUUAAUAUCCCUAUAUACACAAUAGUGUGAAGGAAAACAUUUGACUGGAGAAUGCAGUAGGUAGAGACCCAAACAAGGAAUGUAGAGACAGAGAAGAUGUUAUAAUUAUCACAAACUCCCACUGCUUCACCUCCACACUCUGCUGCUCUCUGGCACCGUCAAAUUGGUUCCUCUUUGAUAAGAGACCUUUGACGAAACAGUUAUGUCUUACAUGACAAACUUGGCAGCAUUAAUGUGUCAUUCAUCUGUAGAAUAUUAGAAACAAGUGAGAAAGGGAGGGAAUGUUUUAUCACCUGCAAGGCAAUAUGAAAUUAAACAAGUUACAGUCAUAUGUUGGCACCCUAACAACAUAAGUGUUCAUAUGUUAAAAGAUGCACUGGAAUCCAAAAGUGUAUUUUAUCAUUAUUUUUAAAAAACAUGCCUUUGGCAUAGUCUCCUGGUCCAUUUAUAUUACAAAAUUAAACAGAAUUUAACACUGUGGUGCUAACAGCAGGCUGCAAUAAACACCCCCCCACACACAUUGUAAAAAUGUAGGGAAAACAGUAACAUCUCAGCCUGUUACCUAAGCAAUUCUAAACAAAACACCCAUCACAGCUAAUCUGCCUCAGGCAAAAGCCCGAGCCAACAGAUGGAUUUCCUCAGCAACCCUCCUGUGUCUUGGCAGAAUUUGGUGAAAAUAAUACUUGUUGUAAUGUUUAUUCAAUACAUAAGCUAAUGAAACUCACACAUAUGUAGUUACUUUCACGCAAAAACAAUUUACUAACAAACUACCCUCAGACUAUCCUAAAAACUAUCCUAAAAACUGUGGACACUGGGGUUAAUAGCUGUGCUCUUGUGAAAAGGACCUUUAAUUAAUACACAGAGUAUGCUUCACUUUUAUAUCUCAUCCAUAAGACAGCACCUCCUAUAGCAGUGUUACAUUACACCAUGCUAGAGGGAAGAUUGCCACCUACUUAACUAUUAAUACUAGUUCCUAGAGCAAAGAGAUGUUCAGUGAAUGUCUUUCAUCCACAUACUAACCCAACCUAAUGCCCCUUACCUCAUGAUAUUUGAUAGGAUCAAAGCACAAGGUGACAUGGAAGUAGAUAUGAAGUGAGUGAGAUAGUUCAUUAUAAACAUAGUGAUUGAAAUCAGAGCAUUUAAUAAUAUUGACUGUGUCUGUGUUGUCACAUAUUUUUUAAUUCCUGCAGACCUAUCUCACAAGGAAUGAUUGUGCUGUCAAUUUACUCACAUUUUCGAUCAAUAAUUUCUAUUAGUGUCAUGUACAGAACAGAAACUGAUCAUAUACAAUAGUAUACAACGUUGUGGCAUAUGGAAACAGAAAGGAAUUAUAUAACACCUUGACUGAAACCAGUGAUUUUACCAUCAUUUUAUCAGUAAACUGAUGCUUGAGAUGUGGGUGUUAUGGGAAGGGGGAACUAUUUUCCUUUUGGAAGACAGGAGUAGUAUGGUGGUACUUUCCAAUUUUCACAGCUCUGUAAUUCCCUGACCAGGGCGUUAGAGGUUAUAUUCAUUUAUAACAGUCAUCAUCAUGAUCAAACAGAGUCUGCUCUCUAACAGGCCUAACGGCUCUUCUCCUCUUCACAGCAAAUACUUUGGUGGAGUUAAACCCUGUUUAUGGGAAGAGUGUAAAUUAGAACCAAGCUGCAUCAUGUUACAAAACUGCAUUUCUGGAAUAUUUCCUUGGCUUUGGUUCAUGUGAAGCAGCUCACAUUGCUCCUCAAAGCUGGAAACAGCUUGCACAACAAGGUCUUUAGGAAUCAGACAAACAAUAGUCAUAAACUAGAGGGUUGUACACUUCAUUGUUUCUAUAGGCCAAGCUCACCGCACA